rnacentral:rRNA from 1 species
AUGGUCGGAUGAAAAUUUKACUUUCUUUAUUUUAUAAAAAAAAAUUAAUUUUUGAAUAAAAAAGUUCAAAUUUUAUUAUAGGACGAGAAGACCCUAUAGAACUUUACUAUUUUAUUUUAAAUGUUUUUAGAACAUAAAAAUUUUUUAUUUUUUAAAUAGUUUUGUUGGGGUGACAAAAAAAAUUUUAUAACUUUUUUUAUUUUUAUCAUUUAUAUGUGAGUUGUUGAUCCUUUAUUAUGGAAAAAAGAUUAAGUUACCUUAGGGAUAACAGCGUUAUUAUUUUAGAGAGUUCAUAUCGAUAAAAUAGUUUGCGACCUCGAUGUUGGAUUAAAAUUAGUUUCAGAGGUAUAAUAUUGAU